AUUGAACGCUGGCGGCAGGCUUAACACAUGCAAGUCGAGCGGAGAUGAGGUGCUUGCACCUUAUCUUAGCGGCGGACGGGUGAGUAAUGCUUAGGAAUCUGCCUAUUAGUGGGGGACAACAUUCCGAAAGGAAUGCUAAUACCGCAUACGUCCUACGGGAGAAAGCAGGGGAUCUUCGGACCUUGCGCUAAUAGAUGAGCCUAAGUCGGAUUGGCUAGUUGGUGGGGUAAAGGCAUACCAAGGCGACGAUCUGUAGCGGGUCUGAGAGGAUGAUCCGCCACACUGGGACUGAGACACGGCCCAGACUCCUACGGGAGGCAGCAGUGGGGAAUAUUGGACAAUGGGGGGAACCCUGAUCCAGCCAUGCCGCGUGUGUGAAGAAGGCCUUAUGGUUGUAAAGCACUUUAAGCGAGGAGGAGGCUACUGAGACUAAUACUCUUGGAUAGUGGACGUUACUCGCAGAAUAAGCACCGGCUAACUCUGUGCCAGCAGCCGCCGUAACAC
rnacentral:rRNA from 1 species